GGGUGUCUGGACCUUUUUUGCUAGAGUUUGGACAGGUAUUUGUGUCGGUCGGGCCGCCGCA
rnacentral:ncRNA from 2 species